rnacentral:lncRNA from 1 species
CGGCCUCAGAACCGCCCGGAGAGAAGCCGCCUUGGAUGGACAGAGGGACGGAGCAGCAAGCAUCCGGCCUCCCCGGCUUCCCUGCAGCGGUCUCCAACUGCUGUCUGCCCGCUGCCCGCCUGCCUGGCAUCUCUCUCCCGUGCUUCCUAUAUGGCAAGCCAGGGACUGAAACUUACGAUUUGACUGGACAAUCUAUAAGGUGCUAGCUGCAUUCCUGGCCUGGGAGCAGGGAGCCUGUCUGACCCCUGUGUCACACUGGAUGGUUUUACAGAGGUGCCCCACCUGAUGCUGGAUGGAAGUCAUCACCCUACAGUGUGGGUAUCAAGGGGGGAGCAAGGGGGCUAGGAAGCUCCAGAGGGAUUAGGUGGUCUCCAGUCACUCCCCUCUGUGUGAACCCUGCUGCUCUUCCACUCUGGAGCUGGAAAGCUGUCAGCUGCCACGCCAUGGUGCCAAGCACAUAGUAGGACUUCAAGCAUGUUUGCCCUGUACUUGUCUGCUCUUGACUGACUUCAAAGCCUUGUCCCCCAACUACCCACACGGCCACCUUACUCAACAGAAAUAUUCCUGUGAUAGAGACAGAAGGGCCCCCUGUUGGUCUGGAGGGUAUGGGGGGCAUUGAUCUCCCCACUAUCCAAACCAGACACCUUAUCUCUAAACCGUCAUGCACCUCCCCAGACCACUCCUACCUUCUGUCACAGACAUCAGUCAUCCUUGCUGCUCACCUCCCUGGACUGGAGCAGCAGGACGGGAUGCCUCCCAACCUGCACAGGAGCAGGAGGAGGCUCCAGGACCUGAGGGUGGGGAGGUAAUUGUUGAGUUAGUCUUACUUGUCUCAACCUUUGCAGGGUCCUUUUAUGACAGGCCGCAAGGUCACCAUAUGACAAACAGGACACAUCUGCCACAACUGGGAGGUGGGGCUGCUUCCCAAAGGACCCUGUGCCAGUACCAAUCAAAACAACAAAUCCAUGGAGUGCAGCCAUAGCACAGGGGAAAUUUGAAAACAUGCUCGAUGAGAGAAGGCAGCUACCUAUGGUCACACAGUAUUCCAGUUCUGUGAAAUUCCACAACAGGUAAAGCAUGGGACCAUAAGACUGCAGCAACCAUGGGAAGUGAAGGUAGGUGGGCAAACGGUUUGGGGGGUAUGAUAAAAAUAUUUUGGAAUUAAAUAGUGGUGAAGGCCAUAUGACCUUACAAAGGUCCUAACAGCACUGGAUGGAGACACUAGACAUUCAAAGUCACAGGUGAGUGUGUGUGCGGUGUGGAUCAUGCCUGAAUUAAACAUGAUUGCAUGUAAUACCAAAGGCAACAAUAAAACUUCCUUCCAUCCGU